ensembl:lncRNA
CAACAGGUAACAUGCUGAGCUGCUUCUCCACUUCUAGAGGCUGUAGCCUUAGGACCCCAGGUAGAGAAAGUAUCUGUGAAAGAUUGAGAAGAUGGCUUACUCCAUCCAGAUGCUGCACAACUGUCACAGACACCCCAGGGAUGGUCCCCCCGGGAGUGACCACCAGUGACCUACCAAAAUCAAGCCAACCCAUCUAUGGUCCCUUCUUCCCGGGCACCUCCACCACCCACACCUCUACUCGACUGACCCUGAUUUGGGGAGGAGACAUCAUGACAAGGUCUCUUGAGAAUUCUGUCUCCUUUGAGGGCCUGUGUGAUAAAGAUUGAGAUGUGUGGUGUUUGGACAAUAAACAGCUUUUCACCACACACUGGGUAGAGGAGGAAGGAGACCUGUAUACUGCGUCACAUCAGUUGGAGUUAGAAGAGGCCAUCAGGCUUUCUGAGCUAAAGGAAGAUUCUGAGUUCUUAAUUCAUUCAUCGCCCUGUAUACCAGAACAUCCUAAAGUGUCUGUCCAGGAGAAGAGAAAUCCAUCCACCACAGAGCUGCAGGCUGCUGGGGAAAGCUGUAUUAUGUGAAUGGCCACACUGUCCAGGCCAAACGCUUCAGCAGGCGAGCUCGCUGUGCUGUCUGCACAGACCGAGUAGGGGGACUUGGCCACCAGGUGUAUAAGUGCACCAACUGUAAACUCUUGGUUCACAAGAAGUGCCACAAACCUGUCAUAAUUGAAUGUGGGCAGCAUUCUUUACCAUCAGAGAACAUGGUGCCAGUCGAUCCAUCCUCCAUGGCUUCAGACCCUGCACACAUAGCAAUCCCACAUAACCUUUCAACUCAUGAGGCUUUAGAGAAAGUUGAUGAAGAGAAUGAGCCAGGGAACACCAGGCAAAGUGGCAAAGCUUCAUCUGGUUUAGGUCUUGAGGACUUUGAUUUGCUCCAAGUGAUUGGCAGAGGAAGUUAUGGGAAAGUACUGUUAGUCCAACUGAAAAAAAUCAAACCAUAUGUAUGCAAUGAAAGCAGGGAAAAAAGAGAAUGUCAACUUUGAUCAGGUACAGAGAGAGAAGCGCAUUCUACAGUGGGCAUCUAACUGUCCUUUUCUAGUUGCACUGCAUGCUUGGUUCCAGACAGAAAGUAGACUGUUCCUUGUUCUAGACUAUGUCAAUGGGGGCAAUCUACUGUUUCAUGUGCAUCAACAAAGAAUGCUUCCUGAAGAACAUGUCAGAUUUUAUUCUGCAGAAAUCAAUUUAGCAGUCAACUAUCUUCAUCAGCAAGGAAUACUUUAAAGAAAUUUAAAAUUGGAAAAUGUAUUACUGGACUCAGAAGGGCAUAUUAAACUCACCAAUUAUUGCUUGUGUAAGGAAGGCUUAUAGCCAGGAGAUACAACCAGCAUUUUCUGUGGCACUCCUAAUUUCAUGGCUCCAGAAAUUAUAAGAGGGGAAGAUUACAGUUUCAGGGUGGACUGGUGGAAUCUUGGAGUACUGAUGUAUGUGAUGAUGAUCAGAGAGUCUCCAUUCCAUCUUGAUGAAAGCUCUGAUAACCCUUAUGAAAACUUAAUCAAGUAUGUCUUGCAAGUAAUUUUGGAAAGAGACAUUUUCAUACCUCAUUGUCUGUACAAGCUGCAAGUGUCCUAGAGAGUUUUCUGAACAGGGACCUAAAAGAAUGACUGGGCUGUCAUCCUCACAAGGGCUGUGCUGAUGUUCAGGAGCAUCCAUUCUUUCAAAAUGUGGACUGGGACAUGAUGGAGCGAAAGCAGGUGGUGCCUCCCUUUAAACCAAACAUCUCUGAGGGAUUCAGUUUGGAUAACUUUGAUCCUGAAUUUACUAAUGAACCUGUCCAGCUCACCGCAGAUGAUAAUGACAUCGUGAGCAAACUUGAUGGAUAUGAAUUUGCAGGUUUUGAGUAUAUCAAUCGUCUUACUCUAUAUAAAGAAGAUGGGGUCUGAUCCUCAUUUUUCAACUAUGCAUUUUGCUUAUGUUACCAUUUAAUGCUUGGAAAAACUUGUUACCAGACUGGAUAGAAUUAACCAUUUUAGAAUUGUCUGGAAGCUAAUUUUAAUUUAUUGUUUUGAAGUUAUAUUUAAAUGUAAUACUUGAUCCUUAUAGUCUAUAGUAGAGAAUGUGGAAUUUUUUCUUCAUAGAUUAGAUUUUUAUGAACUGAUUUAAAUAACAAUGAGGCAAUCACUUGUUAGCCACAUUUGUAUAUACAUUCCAUUUGUUGAGUGGGACAUAAUGCCUAAUAUUUUUUCUUUUUACUUAUGAUACAAGAAAACAAUUUGUCUUUUCAGUAAAAUAUCUUACCUAUGCUAGUUUCUGUCCAACCACAUUACCUGUACCUUUUGGGCUCAGUUUAUGUAGUCUUCAGGAAAAUCCAAAAAAUAGCAAUAAUUUUAAAUAAAAACACAUAUACUUGUAUCUUUUUUAUAUGAAGAAAAUACAAUACAUGACUGCAGGCUUUGGAGGGGUAGUAGUUCUCAUGAAAUGGGGCAUCUGGAAG